rnacentral:ncRNA from 1 species
CAAUGUGCGUUGAGAAAGAAGAGUAAAUAGUAUUUUACUUGAAAGAGAUCUAGGGAGGGUGAAAACCUAGAAUGUAAAACUAUUGAAGGAAGCUUUGGAGCAAUAAAUAGAAAGUCGUAAGGCAUAGUAUAUUUAUGGGGUUAUUCCCUUAACGAUAAUUAAGUGGAUUAAGUAUAGGUAUAUUCAAAAGUAAGGAGAGUAUACUUUCCUAAUCAAUUUAGGUGGUAACGCGGAAGUCAACCUUUCGUCCUAAGU